rnacentral:rRNA from 1 species
GACAGAGGGUGCAAACGUUGCUCGGAAUCACUGGGCGUAAAGGGCGUGUAGGCGGGAAGGUAAGUCGGGUGUGAAAUCCCUGGGCUCAACCCAGGAACUGCACUCGAAACUACUUUUCUUGAGUGCCGGAGAGGAAAGCGGAAUUCCUGGUGUAGAGGUGAAAUUCGUAGAUAUCAGGAGGAACACCAGUGGCGAAGGCGGCUUGCUGGACGGUAACUGACGCUGAGACGCGAAAGCGUGGGGAGCAAACAGG